AUUUUGGCGGUCCUUGAACUCACCUUAGUUUGUUUCCAUGUAUAACUUUCUCCGGCUUUCUAGGACGUGUUUUAUGCCACUUCUUUUUCUCUCUCAUUUUGUCCACCCAACUGUUAACGUUGUGCGUGAAGGCACAAAGUUUCGGCUGGCAAAGAAGACACAGAAAAAAGAAGGUUGAACAAAGAGCCAUUGGGAAGGCCAGACCAGACCAGGUUCAUGCUAGUGACUCCUGAGCCUGUUCCACAGUGUCCGCCACAGGCACCAUCGGAGCAGACGGUUAGGGAGCAAGACGAGAGAGGUGGAGACCAGAGGAUUGGGGAAAGAGAUACGGACGGAGAGGAUGCAAGAUGGAUGGUUGGUUGGAUGGAUGAAAAAAAAUCUGAUAAGAGAUUUGAAACGAGGCCAGGAAAGGCAUCCAGAGUUACCAAGCGGAAUCCAUUAUGUCCCUCACAGGAUGUGAGCACCUUUAAGCUCCACUAAAUCAAAUUAUGUAUCCAGGUAAUUGUCCACUUGUGACGUAGUGGCUCCAUCUUCCUCUCCUCACACGCGGCAUGUCCAUACUUAAUAAAUGGCUGAAUACGACAAAAGUUAUUUUAUAGCAGGAGCCAUCAUUGUGCAUGUAAAUAACUGUAAAUGUAAUGGAAAGUGUCCGUAAUGUCAAUUUACAUGCAGACCAACCUUACCAACCCUCUAGGUUCAGCAGCAAACGAGGACAUGAUGUGUAUGGCAUUUCAAAUAACUCAUAGCAUUAAUAUGCAAAAUAUAUUUGGGCCAUAAGAUUUUCUUCUGCAUCAAUUACACAUCCAUAAACAUGAAUUUUCCAAAUUUUUCAGGCAGGGAGACGACUGCAUGUGGUAAUAUUAUAUCAGGGUUUGCCAAUUUGCUUCAGCUCAAGACCCGAAUUAGAUGUUUAGGACCCAAGUUUACACAAUUAUAGCAUGUGUUUCCGUAACAAUAUGUCCAUAAAGUAAGUAUAAUAACAAACUGUCAACCUAAUCCAAUGGCAAAGACAAUAUAACACAUUGUUUCCCUAAUAUUCAGUUAGAUACAUAAUCUUUAGUAUGAAUAGUAUUAUUUUAAUUGUUAAAAAAUGCUCAGUCUGAAUAUUAUAAUAAUAAUAAAAACUGUGGAAGGGGUUGGUGCUGGUGCCUCACAAUAAGAAAUAAGUAUUCUCAGAGUACUCCGGCUUCCUCCCAUCUCCAAAGAUGGGGAUAGGUGGAUUGACAACACUAAAUUGAAUGAGAGUGUGAACGUUGCCCAGGGUGUAUCCUUGCCGUGUGCAGCUUAGAUAGGCUCCAGCCACCCCCGGGAUGGAUAAUAAACAUUUUAAUAAAAUAAGUAUUUAAUUGUUUUAUACAUGUAUGAUGUAAUUUAGGUUAAAUAUUUAUCACUAUGUAUUUUUCACUGAAGUGUAACUGAACAAAUAUAUAUGAUAUGAACAUUUUACUUGUUAAAACAUGUA